GAGCCAGUGGGAGGUGUCCUUGUCCAUGGCAGGGGGUGGAACUGGAUGAUCUUCAAGGUCCCUUCCAACCCAAACUAUUCCAUGAUUCUAUGACCUUCAGAAAGGGAAAGCUUUAUCACUAGAAUUUGUCCCAGGCUGUUAGAGAAAGCAAACUGCUGUAGGACAAGAGGAAGGGUUCAAAGAUGGUUAAAUAACCAAUUGAAAGAUAGGAAGUGAAAAUAAAUCAUCACGUUCCAGUUUGGGGUGGAACUAGAUGAUCUUUAAGGUCCUUUCCAACUCUAACUCUUCUAUGAUUCUAUGGCAAGACGAAAUUACGAAUGAGGUCUUGCAGGGAUUUGUGCAUAGACCUGUGCUUUUCAGUGUGUUCAUGACACAUAGGAGUGCAGCAAAGUUUGCAGAGGCUGCUCAGAUUAGUAAGGAUGAGUGCCUGAAGAAUUAUAGCAGGGCUGUGCAUCACGGAUUGGAUGGAUGAUGAAAUGGAAGAUGAAAUUCAGUGGAGGUAACGUGUAGUAACAGACAGGGGAGAAGGAUGUAACUGCUAAGGAUCACCAGUGUGUGGCUGUUACUGCUUGGAAAUAAAAUCUUAGAGGUUUAAUAGAUCCUAAAAAUCAUCAGUUUUAUAAAGGUUAAAAUUUUAAAUAAUGCUCAGAAUUACUGUAAAGCAAAUAGAGAAGAAAAUAAAAUGAUGUUAACCAGAACCUCUGCUUUAUUCCGUCUUAAAGCCAAUGUAGUCAAACUGGGAAAGAUUUUGGAGGAGGGUGAUGGGAAUGAUGAAUAGCACGCAACACCUGUAUGUGGGGAACUAAACAGCCUGAAAGGCAGGUGGUUGAGAAGAGAUGAUGAAAGUCCAUAAAAUCACAAGUGGCAAAGGGAGAGGAUGAAGGGAGUGAUUGUUCACUGCCUUUCCCGAUGGCAGAAUGAGAGGUUAUUAAAUGGAAUCUGUGGGUGGUGGCUCAAAGCAUACAAAAUGAGGUGGUCUCCACAGGCGUACGGGUGAGCUGUGACACUCCUCUUGAACAACCUCUUCCCCCUGGAAAAUAAAACAGCCCACACCCACAGAAACAACAAAAAAAAAUCUCAUUAAUGUUAAAGUUUACGUGACUUGAAAGUACCUGAACUGGUACUUGAAAGAUUAAUCCGUUAAAGGCUGCUAAAUAUAAAGGCAGCAUCUCUGGCUUAGAAGAUCCUUUUGAACCAUGAAUUGCUGGACACUACAAAGAGUACUGGCAGAGAAUCGCUCGGUGCUUGUCUGGGCUUUACUUACCUCCCUGGACGUGUGCUAUUUGCCAGGUAUAGAAGUUAAAAAUAAUAAUGUAUUCUCUAAAGCUUUGUCUCCAGUGCUGAGACAGCGCGUUUGUUUCUCUCUCACAACUGUUUCCUUUGGUUGUAGGUUGUGGUUUAGGGGAUUUCAGAAAGCAUUCAUGUCUCAGAUGAGUUUCUUACAGAAUCUCAGUUUUAUUACUGGAAACAACACACCUUGUUGGCAGUAAGACUGGAGCGAGACGAUUCCUGUACAGAGAGGAGUCCAGUGCUGCUGCAGGAAUUCCAAUCCUUGUCUCAGUCACAGCGCUGGGUUGUUUCAAUGUCUCACAGAGAAUGUUCCUUCCAGAGUCACGUACUAAUGCUGUUGAAAUUCCCAAAUCUUACAGCCUGGUAACCCCUGCAGUGUUUGAGACUGAAAUUCUGAAGCUUUUUUGAGAUGAUCUUCAACCAUAUCAUCUGACUGUCAUCUGGAGUGGUGAGACACCAUGAGGUAGAAAUGCCUUCAACGGAGCUGAAGCAAUGAAGAGUAGGCAAUAUGAAGAAAGCGCUUAAAACAUUUUUGUGGAGCCUGUGGUAUGAAUGCCAUUCUGAGGCUGCAGAAAGCCUAUAAUUUCCGGAAGAGCAAGUGAAGGGACUAGAAGAAAAGUGCAAAUCGGAUUUUCAAGAAGUCUGGUCUUCCCAUAAAGGUUGCUGCUGGGUGUGAAGCCACGGAUGAUGCUCUCCAGAACAAUUUGCACAUUGCUCCUGCUCAUUCCAUCUGCAGCUCUGGUCAGUGAAGCAAGGAGAAAAUGGCAUUCAGAUUUGGAGAAAAAGAAAAAGUAGAAGAAAAAGUAAAAGGAAGACUGACAAAUACAGAGUGAAAAGUGAAUUGAGAAAAACAAGAUCAGGGAAGGAUCAGUUUGGAAAACAGAAAUAGGAAAGACGGAAGAAAUUGGCAGAGGGUGCAGUUUUGGAUUGGGAGCUUCACCUCAAGGAUUCCUGUAACAGGAAAGACUUUGUGGAACCUGGAAUAAGAGCAAUUUAAUUUUGCUGCCAGGCCUGUAUGACAGCCUUAUGAGCUGGAUUAACACCCUUCACAACUGGACAUGAUACUUGCAAUUUGGAAGGAGUGGAGUGGAUGGCGCCCAGCACCCCAUCUUUGAUUGUGUGACGCUGAGUCCUCAAAGUCUCAAUUAUCUGCUAGAAGGGUAAUGUAGACACAGUGAUGACCUUGUUGCUGGUCAGCUUUGAUUUCAGUGAGUAUUGGCUUUUGUGGUAAGUUUUGAUAGGAGAUCAGCUUCAGGGGUGGCUUCUGUGAGAAGCUGCUAGAGGCUUCCUCUGUGUCCAAUAGAGACAAUGUCAGCCGGCUCCAAGAUGGACCUGUCACUGGCUGAGACUGAGCCGGUCAUCACGGGUGGCUGCACUUCUGGAAUAAUAUAGUUAAGAAGGGAGGAAAGAAAAACCUGUUGUGGAAACAGCAAUUGCAGCCAAGGAGAGGAGUGAGAAUAUGUGAGAAACGCAACUUUGCAGACACCAUCAAGGAAGAAGGAGGAGGAGGUGCUUCAGACACCAGAGCAGAGAUUCCUCUGCAGACCAUGGUGAAGACCAUGGUGAGGCAGGCUGUCCCCUUGCAGUCCAUGGAGGCCCUCAGUGGAGGAGAUAGCAACCUGCAGCCUGUGGGAGGACCUCAUGCUGGAGCAGGUGGAUGCACCUGAAGGAGGCUGUGACCCUGUGGGAAGCUGUGCUGGAGAAGGUUCCUGACAGGACCUGUGGAUUUGUGGAGAGAAGAGCCCAUACUGGAGCAGGUUUCCUGGCCGGACUUGUGACCCUGUGGAAGGAACGUGUGCUGGAGCAGUUCUUGAAGAACUGUAGUCCAUGGGAAGGACCCACGCUGAAGAAAUUUGUGGAUGGACCCAACACUGGAACAGGGGAAGCGUGUGAGGAGUCCUCCACCUGAAGAGAUAGAAGUGGUGGAAAUAACACAUGAUGAACUGACCACAACCCCCAUUCCUUGUCCCCCUGUUCUGCUGCUGGGGAGAAAUUAGAGAAUUCAGAACUAAAGUUGAGCCUAGAAAGAAGGGAGGGAUGAGGGGAAGAUGUUUUUAAGAUUUGGUUUUAUUUCUCAUUAUCCUGCUCUGAUUUGAUUGGUAAUAAAUUAAACCAAG